UUAAGUAUUUGGAUCAUUUAGAUUUUAUUUAAAUACUCGUUUUUUAAAAUAUAUGUAAUCCGAUUUAUUAGAAUAUAUAUAAAUCUGUUCAAUUUAAAAAGUAUUAGAUUUAAUCAGUUAAAAUGUAUGAAUAUGAAUUAAAUAAAUCUAGCCGUGAAACAAACCGGAUAAAUUCUAUGAGAUUGGUUUACAUACAAAUUUCAGGAAACUGACUUUAGUAGAAGCGGAAAUGACGUCUAUUCACACUCCAGUCAGGAGGUGGCGCCAAAAUCAAAAAUAGACGCUACAGCACAUGGACUUCGCCAUUUUGCAUUGGACUGGAUCGUCAUCUCACUAGUCUACAAUCGCCAAAUUGUAGAUACAGCAUCAUUUCAUCGUCUAUAUGGUGGGACAACCUGCUAGACAGGUUGAAGACAUCUGUAUCUACCUCAAAGAAGGCAUGGAGAGACACAUUAAAGAAUAUGUGGUAAGUGUAUGUCAACCUACUCUAUUUUUAUAUCUAUCUAUUUAUAUAUAUGUAUGUAUGUGUACGUGUAUGUAUGUGUGUGUAUAUAAAUAUCUUAUGGAUAACUAGAUGUUUAAACAAGGUGA